rnacentral:rRNA from 1 species
GUGGGGAAUAUUCCGCAAUGGACGAAAGUCUGACGGAGCAACGCCGCGUGAGUGAUGAAGGUUUUCGGACUGUAAAGCUCUGUUGUUCAGGACGAAAGUGCCUGUUGCGAACAGUUACAGGUAUUGACGGUACUGAACGAGGAAGCCACGGCUAACUACGUGCCAGCAGCCGCGGUAAUACGUAGGUGGCAAGCGUUGUCCGGAAUUAUUGGGCGUAAAGAGCAUGUAGGCGGGAAUCUAAGUCUGUUGUGAAAAUGCGGGGCUCAACCCCGUAUGGCGAUGGAAACUGGAUUUCUUGAGUGCAGGAGAGGAAAGGGGAAUUCCCAGUGUAGCGGUGAAAUGCGUAGAUAUUGGGAGGAACACCAGUGGCGAAGGCGCCUUUCUGGACUGUGUCUGACGCUGAGAUGCGAAAGCCAGGGUAGCGAACGGGAUUAGAUACCCCUGUAGUCC